UACGUAGGUGGCAAGCGUUUGUCCGGAUUUACUGGGCGUAAAGAGCGCGCAGGCGGUCGUUCAAGUCGCGUGUGAAAGCCCCCGGCUCAACUGGGGAGGGUCACGCGAUACUGAUCGACUCGAAGGCAGGAGAGGGUAGUGGAAUUCCCGGUGUAGUGGUAGAAUGCGUAGAUAAUCGGGAGGAACACCAGUGGCGAAGGCGACUACCUGGCCUGUUUCUUGACGCUGAGGCGCGAAAGCUAGGGGAGCAAACGGGG
rnacentral:rRNA from 1 species